UUUGAUCCUGGCUCAGAUUGAACGCUGGCGGCAUGCCUUACACAUGCAAGUCGAACGGUAACAGGUCUUUCGGGAUGCUGACGAGUGGCGAACGGGUGAGUAAUACAUCGGAACGUGCCUAGUAGUGGGGGAUAACUACUCGAAAGAGUGGCUAAUACCGCAUGAGAUCUAUGGAUGAAAGCAGGGGACCUUCGGGCCUUGUGCUACUAGAGCGGCCGAUGGCAGAUUAGGUAGUUGGUGGGAUAAAAGCUUACCAAGCCUACGAUCUGUAGCUGGUCUGAGAGGACGAUCAGCCACACUGGGACUGAGACACGGCCCAGACUCCUACGGGAGG
rnacentral:rRNA from 1 species